AUGGCAGCGUCGGCAAAGACCUUCGUGCUCUACCCCUCGCUGGGCGUCGGCCACCUCAUCCCCAUGGUGGAGCUGGCCAAGCACCUGCUCCGCCGCGGCCAUAGCGCCGUCGUCGCCGUCGUCGACCCGCCGGACGGCGACGCCGCCUCGGCCGCCGCGGUGGCCCGCCUCGCCGCGGCCAACCUUUCCAUCGCCUUCCGCCUCCUCGCGGUCCCUCCCAGCCCGGACCCCGCCGCGCACCCGGUCAGGCGCGCCCACGACACGCUCCGCCUCGCCAACCCCGCGCUCCGGGCCUUCCUGCGCGCGCUGCCGGCCCCCGCCGACGCGCUCCUGCUCGACAUGUUCUGCGUCGACGCGCUCGACGUCGCCGCCGACCUCGCCCUCCCCGCCUACUUCUUCUUCGCCUCCGCCGCCAGCGACCUCGCCGUCUUUCUCAACUUGCCGUUCCUCUACCCCGGCCUGCCGUCCUUCAGGGACAUGGGCGACGCGCUCGUGCGCUGCCCCGGCAUGCCGCCGAUCCGCGCGGUUGACAUGCUGGUCACGGUGCAGGACAAGGAGAGCGACCUCACCAAGGUCCGGCUGUACCAGUUCAAGCGCAUCGCGGAGUCGAGGGGCGUGCUGGUCAACAGCUUCGACUGGCUGGAGCCCACGGCCCGGAAAGCGCUCGCCGACGGCGUCUGCGUGCCCGACCGGCCGACGCCGAGGAUCUACUGUAUCGGGCCAUUGGUCAACAGCGGCGACGCGAGCGCAGGCGGCGAGAAGCGGCACGAAUGCCUCGCGUGGCUCGACGCGCAGCCGGAGAAGAGCGUCGUGUUCCUCUGCUUCGGCAGCAAGGGCGCGUUCUCGGCGGCGCAGCUGAAGGAGAUUGCUCGCGGGCUAGAGAGCUCCGGGCACCGGUUCCUGUGGGCGGUGAGGAGCCCGCCGGAGGAACAGAGGGAGUUCCCCGAGCCGGACCUCGGGCGGCUGCUCCCGGCUGGCUUCUUGGAGAGGACGAGAGGCAGGGGCAUGGUGGUAAAGAACUGGGUGCCGCAGGCGGAAGUGGUGCGGCACGAGGCGGUCGGCGCCUUCAUGACGCACUGCGGGUGGAACUCCGCGCUGGAGGCGAUCAUGUCCGGGCUGCCGAUGGUAUGCUGGCCACUCUACGCCGAGCAGGCGCAAAACAAGGUGAUCAUGGUGGAGGAGAUGAAGAUCGCCGUGGCGUUGGAGGGUUACGAGAAGGGGACGGUGAAGGCGGAGGAGAUUGACGCCAAGCUGAGGCUGGUGAUGGAGACGGAGGAAGGGAGGAAGCUCAGGGAGAUGCUUGCGGCGGCGAGGAAGAUGGCGUCGGACGCGAUCGGCGACGGCGGGUCUUCGGAAGUGGCAUUUGCCGAGUUCUUGAGAGAUUUGGAGAGCAGCAGCAUGGAGAACGAAGGAUGCAACAAUUGA
rnacentral:rRNA from 1 species